rnacentral:lncRNA from 1 species
UUUGAUAACAAUUCAAAAUUUCUAUUUCUAAAAUAAAAAUUCGUUUGAUAAUAAAAUAAAAUUUUUAUUUCUAGGAAUGGCAACGAUCGGCAUCCGGUGGCCGGAGUCCGACGUUCAACGACCGGCGUUCAACGUUCGAUGACGAGCAACGGGCGUCCAAAGUUCGGAGUCUGACACCGAAGUCCGGCGACUGGCAAUCGGCGUCCCACGUUCGGAGUUCGACAUUUGAUGUCCGACAUCUAGAGUUCGUCGACAAGAGGCUGGUGACAGGUGGCCAAUGGCUAGAGUCCGGAGGUGGGUUGUCACGCCCCAAACCCCGAGUGCAUGCCCAUCCCUCUCUGGUCGAUAAUGAUUUGCGACUUCCCAGGACGAGUCGUCGACCCUUUUCAUUUUAUUGCACAUGCGGAAGAGAAAAGAAAUCCCCUGACAGAAUCAUCUCGGGAUAGAAAAGCAGGACAAUAGAUUUACAAACAAACAUGCUUUUAUAUAUACACGGAGUCAUGUACAAAGGUCUAUGGUCAAAAGACUACAAAAGACUGGCCUUCCAAAAAGAAGCGGUCCUAACUGACCUACACUUCCAAUCACCUCCUCUCAGCUCCAGGUCCUCCACCCGAUGACCCUGAAAAUGUUGUCCCACAAUAGGGUGAGAUAUCAUCUCAGCGAGUCUAAGCUCUAAACCCAAAUUAUGAGGGAAAUACGCCCAGAAGCAUCUUAAGCACACAAUCACACAAUCAAGGAGACUUACCUCGUCUCAGAUCCACCCUGCAGGUCAGACAACAUAAGAGCAUGAGCCUACUCUAAAUUAAUCAUGUGUUCCUAAUUUUGAUCUCGGCAUAUAGCAUAGCCUACUCUCAAUUUGGCGGUCUUUUGGCAUUGCUAGGCUUCGUCUCACCCCAUUGAGCACGGCACGUCUUUUUAUCAGACGACUUUCCCGAAGGAGCAUAGGGUCCAGAAUCAACUACGACCGGCUUCCCGUUAUCCAGGGGGUAUCCCAAAUAGGGAUAACGUCCAGCUCAACAGCUCGGGACCAUUUCUCUUGACCAACACACGAUCACCCAGGGCACCAUGCUUUGCACUAAAAUGCUUCAAUUAAAAUGGUGAGCCUGGCCUUCUUCUUCGCAUUAGAAAUUCACAUGAAAUUACUCGUGUGUGGGUACAUGGUCAACUUAACCCAGAAAAAUGAUAUUAUCCUUUUUUGAAAUCUCACCAUUUCAUAUAGUACUAAAAACUAUUUUCGGUGUCAAAACUCGACAUCUGGGAUUUUCUGAAUAAAUAUUGGAAAUUCACAAUUUUUGGAAUUAAAUACCAAAAAUCCAAUCAACACUCAAUUUGCAUAAUUUAACAUUCAAUUGUAGAAAUUAACCACACAAUUGCAAUCAGCACGAAAUUCCGGUCACCAACCAUCCCAACCUAAUUUCCAGAAAAAUAAUUAUUUAUUAAUUAAUUUCGAAAUUUAAUUAAUUAAUUCAAUUUAAUUUCUAAAAGUACUAACCUAGGCCAAAAUUAUUAAAUUAAAUACCAAUACGGACUUAGAAAAUUCCCGAACCCUUCUAGAUAAACAGUACAAUUUAUUUAGGCCUUAGUUAAACCAUGCUAACCAUCUAACAUGCUCAAUUAAAUAAUUACAUUUCUAAUUUAAUCUAACUAACCACCUAAUUCCUAAUAAAAUAAAUCUAAACACCCCUUAAACGUCAUUAACCUACUAAGCAGAGUUUAGAGUAUAAACUCACCGGUUAAUUGCGGAAACCGGUUCACCGCAACGACGACGCGACGGCGGUCGAAACCUUAAUUUUCGGCGGCGUCGACAAACUUGGGCCGGGCCUAAACUUGGCCCAACAAAUCUCAGCCCAACUGAGAUUUGUUGCUAAAACGGGCGGGGCUUCACUGGACUGAGCUGACUUCAAGAUGGGCUGCUGGACUUGGGCUUAAAGUUUGGGCUGUCUUGCUUGGGUUGAAACUUAGGCUGUUGCUGGACUUCAAGUUGGGCUGCUGAGAAUGGGCUGAUCUGACUUCUUCGCUGGGCUGAAAUCGCAUGAAGAUGGGCUGAACUCCACGGCUAGAUGGGUUGCGGGCUUUGCUAGUCUUCGCUGGAGGAGUCUUGCACGAAGGAAAAUGGAGGACGACGCGCGCGUUUAAGGAGCUGCGGGCGUGAAGACCAAAAUUGAGAAGUGUUCGGUGGACUGGGGCUUCGUGGAAGUCAGUCAACCAGGGCUUCGGUGGUUCGUUUGUUGACCGAACGCGUGUGCUGGCAGCCAAGAAGCGAAACAGAGAUGAAGAUGCGUGAAGAGGAGGCUUCGGUGGACGCGUUGGACGACUCUCGGCGAAGCAAAUUCGGUCUUCGGUGGGAAGUUGGCGGGUCAACAAUCAAAGCAAGUUUGGAGAAGCUUUGACCGAAGAAGCUGAAGACGCAAGGCUGAGGGGAGGAAAUAUGAUGAUGGCGUUAGAUGAUGGUGUAUGUUGGAUGAUGAUGAUGGUGGUGGGAAGACAAAACUCAGUGGAGAUGGGCGAAGGGAGAGAGAUCGUGGGGCUGUGGUCUUCGGUGGAGCUGCAGGUGUGCAGCGUGGAUGACAAAAAGGGGAAACAGCCAAGGGAAAUAAAAAUGAAAGAGAAGGCAGAAGCUGAGAGAGAUAAAUGAGAGCGAAGGAGCACCGUGAAGGAGGAGUCGUGCGGGAGAAGCCAAGGAGGAGAGGAAGCCCAAAAUAACCAACUAAAUAUCUC